rnacentral:rRNA from 1 species
CCAUGAAGUUGGAAUCGCUAGUAAUCGCGGAUCAGCAUGCCGCGGUGAAUACGUUCCCGGGCCUUGUACACACCGCCCGUCAAACCAUGGGAGUCGGUAAUGCCCGAAGCCGGUGGCAUGACCUCAUAAGAGGAGUGAGCCGUCGAAGGCAGGAUCGAUGACUGGGGUUAAGUCGUAACAAGGUAUCCCUACGGGAACGUGGGGAUGGAUCACCUCCUUUCUAAGGAGAAA